rnacentral:rRNA from 1 species
UACCAGCACCCCGAGUGGUCGGGACGUUUAUUGGCCGUAAAGCAUCCGUAGCCGGUUCUACAAGUCUUCCGUUAAAUCCACUGCUUAACAGAUGGGCUGCGGAAGAUACUAUAGAGCUAGGAGGCGGGAGAGGCAAGCGGUACUCGAUGGGUAGGGGUAAAAUCCGUUGAUCCAUUGAAGACCACCAGUGGCGAAGGCGGCUUGCCAGAACGCGCUCGACGGUGAGGGAUGAAAGCUGGGGGGAGCAAACCGG